UUUUGUUUAAAUAUUUGCUUAAAAUGGAAGAAAUUCUACAAAAUAUAAGAGAAAAGGCCAUAAAAGCGACCGAAAAUCUUUUGCCAGUUAAAUCAAGGACAAUAACAGUAUGAUCGGGAGUAUGGCAUAUUUGGUAUUUGGAAAGAUGCCAACGCAAUUUCAAAUAACCGAAACCGUUCUAAUGGCAUAUUUUCAGGAACUGUCGGAAAAAUACAGUCCGAACUCUCUAUGGACCAAGUAUUCUACCUAAGGUCUACGUUACUGGUCUAUAAAAAUAUAGACAUCUCGCAAUACCAUCGUCUCAUAUCUUUUUUAAAAGUUAAGUCGAAAGGAUAUGUCCCGAAAAAGUCUUAAGUUUUGGAAGGAGAACAAAUAAUAAAAUUUAUUAAGAAG